AAAUCUCACGCUCCACCUGAAAUUCUGAUGCACCUCUCAGGUCGGGGGGGAGACCUCCCCACCGCGUGACGAGGCACCAUGAUGCUCAGGA
ensembl:miRNA